rnacentral:rRNA from 1 species
ACGGCUACCACAUCCAAGGAAGGCAGCAGGCGCGCAAAUUACCCACUCCCGGCACGGGGAGGUAGUGACGAAAAAUAACGACGCGGGACUCUGUCGAGGCCCCGCGAUCGGAAUGAGUACACUUCAAAUCCGUUAACGAGGACCAACCGGAGGGCAAGUCUGGUGCCAGCAGCCGCGGUAAUUCCAGCUCCGGUAGCGUAUAUUAAAGUUGUUGCGGUUAAAAAGCUCGUAGUCCGAACUCGGGUUCGUGGUCGCGUUUGCGGCCCCGGGGCGGCGGCGCCAUCGUCCGUCGUUGACUUUGGUCGUCCGUGCGCAUUCCCGGCCCUUUCCGCCGGUGUCAACCGCUAUGCACAUCCGCCACGUGGUCCUGCCGACGGCGGCGGGUCUCAGCGGGGUUUGCGUUGUGGGGGUUGUCGGCGCGCACGCGGACGUGGUCUCGUCGGCUGGAUUAUUAUUGUCUUCUUCUUCUCCUGUGUCUCGUUCUUCCUCCGUGCGGCAGCAGCAGCAACGGCCAGUUAUUCGGUCGGCGGUUGCGGCGGCGGUGGUGGUCGGCGCGGGUUGUUAGGGGGGGGAUGAUAUUUUUUUUCGGUCGUCGUAGUUCUUCGGAGGCGUGCCGUGUCCCGGCUUUCCUUUCUCGUUUUCCUUGUCUGGCCCAUCACCGCUCGUGUCUGUUUGCGCGCGUGUGCGGUCGGCGGUUUCUCCUCCAAGGGUGCUCUUAACCGAGUGUCCGCGGCGGCCGGUACGUUCACUUUGAAAAAAUUAGAGUGCUCAGAGCGGGCUGUUCAAGCUUGCAUACGAUAAGCAUGGAAUGAUGGAAGAGGGCCUCGUCUACGUCUGUCGGUCUCCGUCUACGGCGAGGCAAUGAUCGAAGGGAGCGGUCGGGGCCACUCGUAUUGCGACGUUAGAGGUGAAAUUCUUGGAUCGUCGCAAGACGAACUGCAGCGAUGGCGUGUGGCAAGCACGUUUUCCUCGAUCAAGAGCGAAAGUCGGAGGUUCGAAGACGAUCAGAUACCGUCGUAGUUCCGACCGUAAACGAUGCCGACCGGCGAUCCGCCGGCGUUCGCUUCCAUGACCCGGCGGGUAGCCUGCGGGAAACCAGAGUUCGGUUCCGGGGGGAGUAUGGUUGCAAAGCUGAAACUUAAAGGAAUUGACGGAAGGGCACCACCAGGAGUGGAGCCUGCGGCUUAAUUUGACUCAACACGGGAAAACUCACCCGGUCCGGACACCGGUAGGAUUGACAGAUCGAUAGCUCUUUCUCGAUUCGGUGGGUGGUGGUGCAUGGCCGUUCUUAGUUGGUGGAGCGAUCCGUCUGGUUGAUUCCGAUAACGAACGAGACUCCGGCCUGCUAACUAGUGCGCCGAUGUGAGUCGUCGGCGGCGGUUGGUCGCUCGCGUAGCGGUGGUCGUCGUCGGUGUACGGCGGGCCCGGGCGCGUUGGUCGCAACGUGUCUCCCGGGUCCGGGUCGGUUUGUCUCACGCACUUCUUAGAGGGACGGGUGGCAGAAAGCCACACGAGGCGGAGCGAUAACAGGUCUGUGAUGCCCUUAGAUGUCCGGGGCCGCACGCGCGCUACACUGGAGGUAUCAGCGGGCGCUUCUCCCCCGGCCCGAGAGGGUCGGGAAACCUCUGAACCACCUCCCGUGAUAGGGAUCGGGGCCUGUAACCAACCCCGUGAACGAGGAAUUCCCGGUAGGCGCGGGUCAACAGCCCGCGUCGAUCACGUCCCUGCCCUUUGUACACACCGCCCGUCGCUACUACCGAUCGAACGGUCCGGUGAGGUCCUCGGAUCUGGCCGACGACGCCGCCGGGCUGCGCGCUCGCCGCGUAUGCCUCUGCGUUCGAUGCCUGGAGAAGACGACCGAACCCGAUCGUUUAGAGGAAGUAAAAGUCGUAACAAGGUUUCCGUAGGUGAACCUGCGGAAG